GCGCAGCAGGCGAGAAAACUUCACACUGUGCGAAGGCACGAUGAGGGAAUCCCCAAGUGCUUGCACGUAAGUGUAAGCUGUUUCUCUGUUUAAAAACGCAGAGAGAGUAAGGGCUGGGUAAGACGGGUGCCAGCCGCCGCGGUAAUACCUGCAGCUCAAGUGGUGACCGUUAUUACUUGGGCCUAAAAACGUCCGUAGCCGGUUUAAUAAAUGCCUGGGUAAAAUCGUGUAGCUUAACUAUACGAAUUCCGGGUAGACUGUUAAAACUCGAGACCGGGAGAAGUUAGAGGUACUCCUGGGGUAGAGGUGAAAUUCUGU
rnacentral:rRNA from 1 species